rnacentral:tRNA from 1 species
AAAUGGCUGAGUAUUAGGCAUUAGACUGUAAAUCUAAGGACAGAGGUGUGAGACCUCUUUUUACCA